rnacentral:rRNA from 1 species
CCUACGGGAGGCUGCAGUGGGGAAUAUUGGGCAAUGGGCGCAAGCCUUACCCAGCAAUACCGCGUGAGUGAAGAAGGUCUUCGGAUUGUAAAGCUCUUUGAUCAGGGACGAACAGAUGACGGUACCUGACGAACAAGCCCCGGCUAACUACGUGCCAGCAGCCGCGGUCAAACGCAGGGGGCGAGCGUUGUCCGGAAUGACUGGGCGUAAAGGGUGCGUAGGCGGCAUAAUAAGUUAGAAGUGAAAUACCCAGGGCUUAACUCGGGUGCUGCUUCUAAGACUGUUGAGCUUGAGUGCGGGAGAGGUUAAUGGAAUUCCUAGUGUAGCGGUGGAAUGCGUAGAUAUUAGGAGGAACACCAGAGGCGAAGGCGAUUAACUGGACCGUAACUGACGCUGAGGCACGAAAGUGUGGGUAGCAAACAGGAUUAGAUACCCUUGUAGUC